CCCCCAACCCCACCCGCGCCUCCGCCAGACUCGACGUCUCCGCGGGAGAGCCGAGACCCCAAAGGGGGCCAGGAUAGAGGAUAGACCACCACCUUUCCCCUGGACCCUUGGGCCUAGAGGAUGACGGUCAAUGUCGGAGCCACUGCCUUCUGGCUGUCCUGUCCUUGAGGGGCGCUCAGACCUCCUGGGACCCAGAGCAGCAGAUUGGAAACAUCCUAAAUAUCGGCUGGCGGUGGAGCGCUGGGACACUUCCACAUGGAGGCGCGUGCAGCUGGAUAAGCACAGACUGAUUUGAGUCCAUCUCCCAGAAUGGUCUUCAGGGGAACAAACAAGGAGAGGAACAGUAUAUGGAGUUUAUUUAAAAUCAUGUUAACCUGUGAUGUAGGCAUUUGGAAUAAAAGAGUGGAAAACGAGCUGAAUGAGCCUGAGAAAGCAUCUGAAUCAGCAUCAUUUUACCCGCAAGGAAGCUGAGGCCCACGAAGUGCAGUUUCUUGCCCAAGUCAAAUGUUAGUUGGCAGCAAGUCUACAGUGAAAGUUUAGAUUCCCUUCUUCCUACUCCACUGCUUCUCCUUCUGACAAAUACUUGGCCUACGCGGUUUAGAAUCCUAGAUCCCUCUUCUCCAACUUCUACAGAGAUGGCAAGAUGUGGAGAGGAAAGGCAAGGGAGGCUCCACGCCUGCAUCCUUCGACACGGGCCUCUGUAGAAUCUUGAAUUCAUCAUUCUCUUCCCAUUUCCACUGCCAUGCCAUAGUGCUGGCCCAACGCCUGCCCAGAAGACUUCUGCAGGAGCUUCAAAGCUGAGAUUCAUAUAUGUUGUAGCAUAUGUCACAAUUUCAUUCCUUUUGAUUGGCUGAUAAUAUUCCAUUGUAUGGAUGGACCACAUGUUAUUAUCCAUUCAUUAGCUGAUGGACAUUUGGGUUGUUUCCGCUUUGGGGAUACUACAAACAUGCUGCUAUGAACAUUUACGUAGUUUUUACAUUAACAUAUGUUUUCAUUUCUCUUGGGUAUAUACCAAGGAGUGGAAUUGCCGGUCAUAUGGUAACUCUGUGCUUAACAUUUUGAAGAAUUCCCAAACUGUUUCCAAAGUGGAUGCAACAUUUCAUAUUUCCACCAGCAGUGUGUAUGUUUCAAUUUCUCCACACCCUCACCACCACUUGUUUUUAUCUGUCUAUUUGAUUCUGGCCAUCCCAGUGGGAGUGAAAGGGUAUCUCAUUGUGGCUUUGAUUUGCAUUUCCCAAUGGCUAAUAAUGUUGAGCAUCUUUUCAUGAGCUUCUUGGCCUUUGUAAAUCUUCUUUGGAGAAAUAUCUACUAGGAUCCUUGUCCACGGCCAGGAAGCUAUUUAUCUUUUUAUUAUUGAGUUGUAAGAGUUCUUUAUAUAUUCUAGACACAAGUUCCUAAUUAGAUUCAUAAUUUGCAAAUAUA